UACGAAGGGGGCUAGCGUUGCUCGGAAUCACUGGGCGUAAAGCGCACGUAGGCGGAUCUUUAAGUCAGGGGUGAAAUCCUGGAGCUCAACUCCAGAACUGCCUUUGAUACUGGGGAUCUCGAGUCCGGAAGAGGUGAGUGGAACUCCGAGUGUAGAGGUGAAAUUCGUAGAUAUUCGGAGGAACACCAGUGGCGAAGGCGGCUCACUGGUCCAUUACUGACGCUGAGGUGCGAAAGCGUGGGGAGCAAACAGG
rnacentral:rRNA from 1 species